rnacentral:rRNA from 1 species
CUGCGAGUGAAGAGGAGGAGCCCAGCACCGAAGCCCCCGUCUAAAUUGGCGGUGGUGCAAUGUGGUGUAAGGGAAGGUCCGUUCCGGUAGAGUGCUUGGUGUCUAAGUCCCCCUGACCGGGGCCCUGACCCAUGGAGGGUGCAAGGCCUGUGUGGCCCAGCAAACUCUGAGCUCUACUGGUCGGUUCCUUUCCCAGGAGUCGGGUUGCUUGAGAGUGCAACCUUAAGUGGGUGGUAAACUCCAUCUAAGGCUAAAUACUUGCCACGAGACCGAUAGCAAACAAGUACCGUGAGGGAAAGUUGCAAAGAACUUUGAAGAGAGAGUUCAAGAGUGCGUGAAACCGUUUGGAGGUAAACGGGUGGGACCUCGAAGGUCGAACGGAUGGGGCGGGAUUCAGCCCGUCGCCGCGGAACCCGAGUGGUGGGUGUGCGUUCUGGACUUCGGUCCAGUUUGCCCUGCGAGCUUUGGUGUUCUGCAGUGUGGCGGGUGCAUUUCCCGACUCCCCCUUCCUAGUAGGACGCCGCGACCGGUUGGAAUGUUGAACGCGGGAGACCAGGUGCAGGGCCGCUGGUAGCUGCACAGAUGCUUAUGGUCGGCGGCACUUCGGUGCUCCCCGCCGCAUCUGCUUGUCUGGCCGGGCCAUUGCGAGUUGUCUCUCACUCCAACCGAGGUUUUCGAAGCGCGUCGGCCCCCUGCAAGGGCUGUGCGCUCACUCACGUGCCCCGCACGUCGGCAGUGCUCGGGCAGACAGAGUCUACCGGGUGGUUCAGGUCUGUUGGGCGUCGAGACCCUCUGUGGUCUCCGUCUGUGCAUGACACUGAUGCCUACCGACAGUGAAGGGUGCAGGCUCCCGAGUUGGGCACCGGGGGAUCAGCGGCGAGUAGGUUGGUAUCCCACCCGACCCGUCUUGAAACACGGACCAAGGAGUCUAACACGCUUGCAAGUCUUCGGGGCCUGACAAACCCCAUGAAGGCGAAAUGAAAGUGAAGGUGAUCUUAAUCGAUUGCUGAGGCGAGAUCCUGGUGACCGCGAAUCGCCAGGCGCAUCGCCGGCCCGUCCUUGGAUCGCUUGCCGAUCGGGCGGAGCUAGAGCAUG